UACGAAGGGGGGCUAGCGUUGCUCGGAAUCACUGGGCGUAAAGGGGUGCGUAGGCGGGUCUUUAAGUCAGGGGUGAAAUCCUGGAGCUCAACUCCAGAACUGCCUUUGAUACUGAGGAUCUUGAGUUCGGGGAGAGGUGAGUGGAACUGCGAGUGUAGAGGUGAAAUUCGUAGAUAUUCGCAAGAACACCAGUGGCGAAGGGCGGCUCACCUGGCCC
rnacentral:rRNA from 1 species